AUGACUGAAGUUGGUCCAUUCCGAAACUAAAGAUGGCUAAAAUUCUUCUUUGUCAAAAUGCAUAGAUAUGAAUCUUAUAUGAAUAUAGUUCUCUAUUGCUUAUAGCAGUGUAAUAAACUCCGUGUGUAAAGGAGAAGAAAUGUUAUAUAAGUGAAAACAAAAUUAUGAUUUUUUUUCUUGUGCCUAUAGGCUCUUCGCAAUUUGAAGAAGAAAGAACAUAUUGUGUGAAAAUCUUUGGUUCGAUCAAAUUUUAUCCAGUUGUUUAUAAAACUGUUGUUAUCUGAUUCAUGUAAUUUUUCAGUGUUGAUUUAAAAGCCCAAAACACCCAUCUAUACUGACUUUUUGAUUUUUUUUUCUGUGAUUUGAAUUUAAAAAGAGAUAAAACUUUCGAUUAGUUAUGUAAACUCAGAACAAGUAUUUAGCUUUAGAAAGCAUUUACAUGUUUCAAACUUAUAAUAUAUACAUAUAUAAUGUUUAAAAUUAUGCAUAUAAAACAUGUGUACAAUGUGCCUGAAAUGUUUAUCUUCUUUAAUGUGUUAAUCGUACUAUAUAUAACAUUAUUUAAAAUUUCAAAAAGUUUAUGUCACAUACAAAAAAUCAUCAAUAAAAAUAUAAUUCUCCAUCUACAACAAGAAAAAUAAAAAAAUAUAAACAUAUAAAUUUAAAUUAAGAAAAACUAACAUUGGAAAAACAAGAAGUUAAUGUAAAAGAAAAAAACUGACAAAUAAUAUUAUAAAUAAAAUAAAUUUAAAAGACACAAUCCGCGCGAAGCGCGGAAAAAAUCUCUAGUGCUAAUAAAAUGUAACUUCAAAAAUUAUUGACAGAUAAACUUGAAUUUAAUGAUUCUCAAAUUGUUUAAUGUAAAAAAAUGAUGCACGUACGUAUGAUUAAAAUUUAAUGAUUCUCAAUUUAUCUUUAAAUCUCUUCAAAUUCAGUCUUAAAAAUGUGGAACUAUAAGGUAUCUCUCCACGUCCAACCCUAAUUAAUUCAACUACAUAUAGUUUCC
rnacentral:lncRNA from 1 species